ACACGUUUUCCCCAAAUUCCUGAGCAUUUCUUUUGGGUGCCAAGUUUGACAUGACUGCUUCAAAUUCAUAAUGAGUAUGGAAUACGCAGAAAGCAGCUCAAGGUGAGUCAUUCAUUAAUCAUAAGAAAAACAGGCCCUGAUCAAGGGCACAUCAGCACAAACCAUAAAAAAGAAACGGGGGGACAGGGUUGCCCAAUCGCCUUAUUUAAUAUUAACUACAGUAUGUUUUUUUCACUUGAGUUCUGAGAAACAUUGCUCCCCACUCCCUGGUUUUGUCUGAACUCAAUCCAAAGUCAAUUUUCCCUGAAUCCAGGGUGUCUGCUUCAUGGCUGCUGAGAGUGAGACGCGGGACUUUGGAACCAUAGUCAGUCACCCUGGAAGAAAGUCAGCCGGCAGGACCACUGACUUUCAGCCUUGUCCUCGGUCACUUUUUCCGCACUGCCUGACAUAUUCUGGGAGAACAUAGAUGAACAACAUGAGGACCAAUAGCCAUCUGUUCAUACCACUGGGCUGUGGACAGUGGGGGUACAACCUGAUUGGGAAGGUGAGAUAAGUUAGCAUGAGCACCACGUGGACGGUUUGAUCACAUUUCCAUCUUUUUCUCUUUUGCUGUCACAUGUGUCCCGUGAUGUGGGCAGAUCAAGGGGUGUGAUUGCAAACUGAGGCUCCGAGUACAGCCGAUGCCCCCUGCAGUGUUCUUCCCACUCCCCACACCACCGUCGGAACAGUGCAGCCGAAGUUUCUGCACUCAGAAAGGCCCACCAGUCGCCGGCCCCAUUGUCUCUCUCCAGCUAUGGAAAUGGCUGAGCUCUACUGUGCACCUUGAUUAAAGUGUGCAGCUCCUUGAGAAGGUGGCAGGGCCCCAGCUGAUGUGAGCAAGUCCCCAUAUAAUUUGCACAGCAUGAGACUACUGUCAUCUAAAGUUGAGAUUCAGGAGUUUGCCCCCAAAAAAACGCAGAGAUGAAAGAGAAAGAUAAAGAGAUGAGAAUAAAAUCUGACACAAA